CCAUUGGGAUCCAGUCUAUCACAUGGGAGGCGUGGGGUUCACGUCCUUGUGAAGGCAAACUGACCCACACCCAUGGAGAACUAAUGGCCCACGCUCGCGGAGAGCUGGCGCAGCAAGAUGAUGCAGCAAUGGGAGACAAGCAGACACAGAAGAACACACAGUGAAUGAACACAGAGAGCAGACAGCAAGCAAGCUGCCAAGAGUGGGAAAUAAACAAACAAAUAAUAUAUUUUUUUUUUAAAGUGUGUUCAACUUUUCCUAAAGUCCUGGUCUCUAAUGCUGCCUUUUCAAGAAUCACAGAGCCUCAGCAGAGGAAGGUUUCUGGAGUGUCUCUUUUGUUUGAUGUUCUCUGUAACUUUCGCACUUUUUAACAAUGUAUCACAAAGGAGCCAAAUAAAGUGUCCAGGUAGAUCAGCAAAAUCCAUUCUCCUUCUGUGCAUCAGUGAUUCCCCAGUGACAUUGGAUCAGCCGCUGCAAUUCCUCAAGUGAAGAUCAGAAUGUCAUAAUCCUACCGGACACUUUUUUUCUCCACCACUUAAGGUAAUAGAAAAAUAAUGUUUGCAGUUUCACCAGGAUGAAUUAGAAAAUACCAAAAGUUUCACUGCAAAUAUUAUGGCUUUGUAUACGUCAUCUUCGUUCUAAUAUUUUAGUGCUCU
rnacentral:lncRNA from 1 species